GUAUUGAAUUUGCUAGUUUUGUUGCGCAUUAUGUCUUCGAGUAAAGGUAUGUUUAAGGGAGGGCAUAAGAAUAAAGGUAAGUCAUCUAUUUCUAUUAAUCAAAAACUUCCUCGUAAGUCUGAAGAUGAUUCUUUAGAGGAUAGUGAAGAUUGUAUGCAUGAUAAUAAUAAUAAUAAUAAUCGCGAAAGUGUAUCGAGUGAGGAGGAAGAGUCUAAGGAAGUUUCUAGUAUGGAAAAAACUAUUGACGAUGAUUUAAAUAAUAAAAAAUUAUUUGGUGAUAGAAAGAAAUAUAAAAAAGAAAUUAUAAAAUCAAUAGCUAGUGAAAAACUUCUUGAUUUUACUUCUCCUAAAGAUUUUAAUAUAUAUAUCAAUAGAUUAUAUUCUAAUCGUUUGAUUAAUGGUAUUCCUAGAAUAACUUGUUUAAAUAAUAUUAUGAAUUUUUAUACACAAUAUCAACGAUAUUUACGCUAUUAUUUUUCGAAACUUGAUUGUAGAGUUUCUCUUGCACUUGAUAUUUGUCGUGAUGUUCGUAACUUAGAUUAUUUAAUUGUUACAUGUCAUUGGAUAAAUUCCGAUUGGAUAAUGGAAACUCGUAUUAUUGCUUGUCGUUUUAUUGAAGAUAAAAAUAAUAGUCCUUUUAUUGUUGCAUCUAUUAGAGAUAUUUUGACUUUUUUUGGUCUUAAUAAUAAAAUUAUGUGUAUUUCUUUUAAUAAUAAUUUUAAUGAUAUUUCAUCUUUAGAAAUUCAAUCUGUACCACCUUUAAAUGGAAAUUUUCAUGUUAAAUAUAUAUGUGGAAUUUUUAAUUUAAUUGUACAUGAUAUAAUUGAUCUUUUUAGUUCUUAUAUUACCAAAAUUAGAGGAGCAAUAACAUUUAUUUUUCAAAAUAAUUCAAAAACAAGAAUUAAAGAAUUUAGGAAAAAUUGCAAUGAUUUUAACCUUAAACCAAAAAAAAUAUCAGUAGAUAUUUCUACAAAUUGGAAUUCUUUAUACAUUAUGUUAAAUGUUGCAUAUAAAUAUAGGGAGCCAAUUUCUGUUACAUAUAAUAAUUAUAUUGAAAAUUCUGCUAAUUUUUUAAUUGAUUCAGAUUGGGAUAUUAUUAAAGUUAUUGUCAAAAUUUUAUCAAAAUUUCAUGAUGCUAUUAAAGAAUUUUUUAGUAAUUGUGAUCCUAAUAUUUGUAGUAUUUUAAGUCAUAUUACUGUUUUUGCUUAUGUACUUUCUAAAUAUAAGGAUAAUGAAAUUUAUAAAGACUUUAUUAUUCCGAUAAAAGAAAAAAUAAAAAAAUAUUUUAUUCCUAUGCCACCUAUUUUUCAAAUUUCUGCUGUAUUAAAUCCUAAUUUAAAAUUAAUUUAUGCAAAAGAAUUUACAAGAGGAUUAUAUGAAUUAUUAGGAAUUGGUGAGGAAGAAAAACCAGAUUUGGAAAAUGCUAAAUCUAGUUUAUUUUCAAAUACAGAAGCAUUAUUUAACUAUUAUCAGCAAUUAAUAAUAGAUAAUGAAAAAUUAAAUAUUUCUAAAUCUAAAGAAAUAGAUUUUAUAGAUAAUCUUGUGGAAAAAUUACUAGGUAGAAAUAAAAUAAGUGAGCUUGAUUCUUAUGUGAGCCAACAUGGUGAAUCUACUGAUAUUAGUAUUUUGCAAAGGUUGAAGGAUAGAUCAAAAUUUUCACGUGUUAUUGCGAAAAUGGCUCGUGAUGUGCUAAGUGUUCCAGUUGUUUCAAGUGUGGCGUCAGAAUAUGUAUUUAAUAAAGAAAAGAUGCGGAUUGGUGAUAACAACCACUCAUUGUCUAGGGAGACAAUGGAAAUGGUAGUUUGUGUUGAAGAUUGGAUUAAAACAGAGCGAAGAAAGCAACAUGUAGAAAAAACAGAAGACGAAGAACUUGAAGAUGUCAUGAUAAUGUCGGAUGAUGAUCAAAGUGAUGAAAGUGAUAAUCAAGAUUAUCCAACUCCAAUCAAUCCUUCUUAUAUUGAUAUUAAGGAGAUGAUUGAUAUUUUUAGAAAAAUUUGAUCAUAAAUUCAUCUAUCAUUGUAUUUAGAAAUUUCUAUUAUUUUUUGUUCAUGAGAGUAGAACCUCUUGACUCUUGUUGAAAUUUGCAAGUUUAAAAGUUCAAAAAUGAAAGUUAU
rnacentral:lncRNA from 1 species